rnacentral:lncRNA from 1 species
GUAGGUUGAGAAACGUCAAGAUGAAUCGUACAGCACUCGCGAUUUCACAAACGCUGGUCCCUCAGCCUGCCCAGCGAUAAUAGAAUGAUCGAAAUGGGGAGCUCUUCAGGCUAAAAAGAAACCCAGCAAACUUAAGGACGAACACAUCAAUAACAAUUCGUGGAGUGACAUAGGGCCCAACUUCCUAAUUGGGGA